ensembl:snRNA U6 U6 spliceosomal RNA
GUGCGUAUUUCAGCAGCACAUAUGCUAAAAUUGGGGGGAUACCGGGAAGAUCAGCAUGGCUGCUUACAAGGAUGACACUCAAAUUCGUGAAGCAUUUUGCAUUUUU